GUCUAUGGCCAUGCCACCCUGAACAAGCCCGAUCCCGUCUGAUCUCGGAAACAAAGCAGGGUCGGGCCUGGUUAGUACUUGGAUGGGAGACCAUCUAGGAAGACCAGGUGCUGUAGGCU
rnacentral:rRNA from 1 species